rnacentral:rRNA from 1 species
UACGGAGGGUGCAAGCGUUAUCCGGAUUUACUGGGUUUAAAGGGUGUGUAGGCGGACUUUUAAGUCAGAGGUGAAAUCUCCGGGCUCAACCCGGAAACUGCCCCUGAUACUAUUAGUCUUGAAUAUUGAUGAGGUGGGCGGAACGGGUCAUGUAGCGGUGAAAUGCUUAGAGAUGACCCGGAACACCAAUUGCGAAGGCAGCUCACUGGGCAAUUAUUGACGCUGAGGCACGAAAGCGUGGGGAUCAAACAGG